rnacentral:rRNA from 1 species
CCUACGGGGGGCUGCAGUCGAGAAUCAUUCACAAUGGGGGAAACCCUGAUGGUGCGACGCCGCGUGGGGGAAUGAAGGUCUUCGGAUUGUAAACCCCUGUCAUGUGGGAGCAAAUUAAAAAGAUAGUACCACAAGAGGAAGAGACGGCUAACUCUGUGCCAGCAGCCGCGGUAAUACAGAGGUCUCAAGCGUUGUUCGGAAUCACUGGGCGUAAAGCGUGCGUAGGCUGUUUCGUAAGUCGUGUGUGAAAGGCGCGGGCUCAACCCGCGGACGGCACAUGAUACUGCGAGACUAGAGUAGUGGAGGGGGAACCGGAAUUCUCGGUGUAGCAGUGAAAUGCGUAGAUAUCGAGAGGAACACUCGUGGCGAAGGCGGGUUCCUGGACAUUAACUGACGCUGAGGCACGAAGGCCAGGGGAGCGAAAGGGAUUAGAUACCCCGGUAGUC